UAGGGAAUCUUCCACAAUGGACGCAAGUCUGAUGGAGCAACGCCGCGUGAGUGAAGAAGGCUUUCGGGUCGUAAAACUCUGUUAUUGAAGAAGAACGUGUGUGACAGUAACUGGUCAUGCAGUGACGGUAUUCAAUCAGAAAGUCACGGCUAACUACGUGCCAGCAGCCGCGGUAAUACGUAGGUGGCAAGCGUUGUCCGGAUUUAUUGGG
rnacentral:rRNA from 1 species